CUGGCGGCAUGCCUUACACAUGCAAGUCGAACGGCAGCACGGGAGCUUGCUCCUGGUGGCGAGUGGCGAACGGGUGAGUAAUACAUCGGAACGUACCCUGAAGUGGGGAUAACGUAGCGAAGUUACGCUAAUACCGCAUAUUCUGUGAGCAGGAAAGAGGGGGAUCGCAAGACCUCUUGCUUUAGGAGCGGCCGAUGUCGGAUUAGCUAGUUGGUGAGGUAAAAGGCUCACCAAGGCGACGAUCCGUAGCGGGUCUGAGAGGAUGAUCCGCCACACUGGGACUGAGACACGGCCCAGACUCCUACGGGAGGCAGCAGUGGGGAAUUUUGGACAAUGGGCGCAAGCCUGAUCCAGCCAUGCCGCGUGAGUGAAGAAGGCCUUCGGGUUGUAAAGCUCUUUCGGUGGGGAAGAAAUUGCACAGGAUAAUACCUUGUGUAGAUGACGGUACCCGCAUAAGAAGCACCGGCUAACUACGUG
rnacentral:rRNA from 1 species